rfam:Oryza sativa (indica cultivar-group) chromosome 7, whole genome shotgun sequence.
AAUAAAUGUAGUUUUUCAUUUCUUACGUUUUCGUUUGACCGUUUAUUUUAUUUGCAAUUUUUUUACGAUUAAUAUUUUUAUUGUUAUUUAAUGAUAAAAUAUAAAUAGUACUUUAUAUGUGACUAAUUUAUUUUAAUUUUCUCAUAAAAUUUUCAAAUAAGACGGAUGGUCAAAACGUUGGAUACGGAUUUCCAUAGCUGCACUUAUU